GCCAUUCUGAUCUGUUGAAAGAGGGAAGUGUGGUGCCUGAAGCACUGAAAAGCAUGCGGGAGAAGGUGAUAACAAGGCUCAGGGGAAAACCGAGGCAAGAAGAGAAGUCCUGUUGCAUAGAAAGAGAGAGCUCAGAAACUGGAAUUAGAUGCCCUGGGUUCACAUCUUGGCUCUGCGUCUUAAAAGAUUACAAGACUGAAUAAGAUAGACAUGACCUCCUUCCUCCUGGACCUGACAAUUGUUCCUUCAAAUCACUUCCACACAUGCAUUGCCUGGGGACUGGGGACUGGGGUCUGGAUCCCAUGGCCAGACCAAACCCCAAAGGAAGCUAUUGGAGAAUACACACCUUCGAAAUGCGGAGAAAUAUAAGAAAAGGAAGACAAGAGUUCAAGAAGCCAGGCAUCCAACAAUAAUAACUAAAGAGGCAAGGUAAUUCUCAGGAUGAUGUAACAGAAAGUCCAGACUGGUGAAUGACAAUGAAGAACUACAAGAGGUUUGUACUCUGAAAAGAAGAAGGAAAAAAGUGGAACUCACAGUUUGUCUAAAGUUUUUGACCAUGUUUCAAGGAAGUAUAUGGUUCUGUGCAAAGUUAGCAAAAGGUACAUUAAAAAAAUGAGAAAACAACAAAAUCAGGCAAUUACCAACUAAAAGUAUAAAGAAUUUGGUACAAAAAAGGAAAUUAAUAAUACACUACAUGCUAACUUGUUAACAAUUUUUACAUAGUACCAAUACAAUAAAUACAAUGUUAAUUUCAAACUGCAAUUAAUUAUGCUGGAAGGAUGUGGGAGUGUUAAGAGAGUUAAAUUAAAAUCUUCAUAACAGGAAGUCAACAGAUAAUACCUACUGAAUAUUUCUACUUUUUGGAGGGAUGUUGGGUUGGGGAACUACUGUUUCAUUUCCUUAAAGUACUAUUUGGCUUUUUAAAUUGCCUGUACACAUGCAUAUGCAUACAUAGUCUAAAGUUAAAUUUUUAAAACCACAUAUAAAAGCCAUGUGGGAAAAGAAUUAUUGUGAAUGCUUAGUAAAAGAAUGUAUGCACAGCACAUAAUACAAUGUUGAUACAUCAUAGAGUAUUAAUAAAGUCCCCAAGAUUUGCCUGCUUGGGAUAGUCUUAUUAACAAAAGUUAAUCUUGUUAAUAAAACAGUCAACAAAUAUAUAAAUCUUUACUCAUCAGUCCCUAGUAAAAUUUUCCAACUGUUGUGGAAGAUAUAAAGAAAUAUGAAACAUAAUCCUUACAUUAAAAUACCUUCUAAUAAGUUAUGGCAGUUAAUAUUUAAUUGGUGUUAUAUGUACAGUAGGCACUGUCCCAAGUUCUUUACAUAUUAUCUCUUUUAAUUCUAUGAGAUAGACAUUAUUAUCUCCAUUUUAUUAUAUAAAUGAGGAAACUGAGGCACACUAAAAUGAAGUAACUUGUCCAGGUCAUGGAGCUCAUAAGAGAGGGAGGUAGGAUUCCAGUCCAAGCAGAAGGCGAGGGAGUCUCAGAUUGCUUUAUAAUCUAAUUGAGGGGAAGAAGAAACAGAGCUAAACAACCUUAUAUGAUUUAAGGAGGAGUUCAACAUAAUACUGGAAGAGAUGUCACAAACUAAUGCAAGCAUACUUUAGGGGAAAUUGCUGUAUUACACUAGGAGAUCAGAAGAGAGUGCAAACCCUUCAGACUGAUAGCCAAGGAAGCAUUUAAUUGGACCAGCUGGCUGGGGAGGGCAUUCCUUGUAAGUGAAUCAACACGCAGAGGUGGUAACCAUAGCAUGCCAGGGAUCAGCGAGGAAGGUAAUUUGACUAGAGCAUAGCACAUUUUGUUCAUCCACAAAUAAAACCUGUGAGAUCAAAGCAGGAAAGGCCUAAUAACAAAUUAUAAAUGGCCUUGAAAGCAGACUAAGAAGCUUGGACUUUAUUUUGUGAAAACGGGAAGUGAUUGCUGAGCAUGUGCACUUAAUCUGGACAUUGUACAUGUAAUCAGCUGACAGGAAGAGAACAAGUAACGGCUUAUUGUGGCAGUCUGGAUAAGAUUUAUCAAAAUCUCAAACUAGCCUGGGGUAAGUGAGAGUGGAAUUGGCUGGAUCCUGGAUGAGAAGUCCCACAAGGACUUACAGAAACAAUUUGCAUUUUAUCUUUCUACCAAGGAGAAAAGUUUUUCAAACUACAAAGGCUAGAUAUAAUUAAAAGGGAAUUAAAUUUCAAAAAGUUCAAGUAAGAGUAUCUGCUUUGAAAAAAUGAGUUUCUAGGUUUCAAUAAGUUACAACAUAGCAUAAUCAAAUACUUAACUAUUAUGAUUAUGAAUUGGCUGGCAGGAUUUCUUUUAAAAUGAAAGUAAAGCUUUCUAGAUGUAACAAUAAAGCAUGCUCAAUAUGGAAAAAAUAUACAAAGAAAAAAAUCAGCAAACUUAUUCACAUACCCUUAGUUUGGUUAUUUUUUUUCAGUCUUUUCUAUGAAUAACUUUGUUUCCAUGUUAAUACAAAGUUACAAUUGAUUAUCAUAUUAUAUAUAGAAGAUAUAAUUUUCUUCUUGCUUAAACAUUUUAAUAAAACAUUUUUCAGUCUUUUCUUUGAAUAACUUUGUUUCCAUGUUAAUACACAGUUACAAUUGAAUUUUCUUCUUGCUUAAACUUUUUUUUUUUUUUUUUUUGAGAUGGGGUCUCACUCUAUCGCCCAGGCUGGAGUGCAGUGGCCCGAUCUUGGCUCACUGAAAACUCCGCCUCGCAGGUUCAUGCUAUUCUCCUGCCUCAGCCUCCUGAGUAGCUGGGACUACAGGCACCCGCCACAACACCCAGCUAAUUUUUUUGUAUUUUUAGUAGACACGGGGUUUCACCGUGUUAUCCAGGAUGGUCUCGAUCUCCUGACCUUGUGAUCUGCCCACCUCGGCCUCCCAAAGUGCUGGGAUUACAGGCGUGGGCCACCACACCUGGCCUUGCUUAAACAUUUUAAUAAAACAUUUCAUAUUCCAUUACAAAUUUAUUUGUAUACAUAACUAAUAAUUGCAUAAUACUUAAUAAUGUGUAUAUAUGUACUAAAAGGUUUUUAACCAUUCCUGUGUAGUUGGAUAUUUAAGCACAUUCUAAAUCUCUGUUUAUAUAAGCCUAAUAUCUCUUUGCUCAAAAUCAAUUUUCUGUAUUGUGGAUUACCUCCUCAGGCCGGUUUUCCAGCUAAAAAUCUUAAGAAAAACAAUGGAGAAUGAAAGAAGUAAACAGUUUAAACAUAACUUCUAUUUAAGAGGGCAUGAAAUGGUUAAAUUGCAAAACCUUAGUGAGUCACCAGAGUGAUUAUUUUUAACCACACUGUCCCUGAAGGACAACUGAUAAUGAUAUAUGGGAAGUAACUAUAGUGCAGAAAAUAUCUAAGCAGGCAUAACAAGUGUUUAGUAAUUAACAUCAGAAUGACAUUAUAGUUUUUAUUAAUUUUCCAGCCAGAGUCUCACUCUGUCACCCAGGCUGGAGUGCAGUGGUGUAAUCUCGACUCACGGAAACCUCUGCCUCCCAGGUUCAAGCGAUUCUCCUGCCUCAGCCUCCUGAGUAGCUGGGACUACAGGCGCCCGCUACCAUGCCCAGCUAAUUUUUGUAUUUUUAGUAGAGACGGGGUUUUACCAUAUUGGCCAGGCUGGUCUCGAACUCCUGACCUCAUGAUCUGCCCUCCUCAGCCUCCCAAAGUGCUGGGAUUACAGGCAUGAGCCAUCGCACCUGGCCGCAGAAUGACAUUAUCGUUACAUCUACACUUGAAUGUAUUUUAUAUUGCAUUUAAAUUUAUUUACAUGUAUUUUAACUUAACUGGUAAAAUUCUGAAGCAUGGGUAUAAUUAUUCUCUUAAUGCACCUUAUUCUUUUAAAUUUCUGAAUUAAUGGAAUCUGUAGACAUUAUUACAAAGAUAUAUCUGAGCCAGUUAUAUUACUGAAAUCACCUUUGCAAAAAUUAUGACAGUGAGAAAAAUAUGACAUAGGAAAAUUAUGACAGUAAAGGAAAUCUGACCUAACCAACUCCAUCUUGGUUCUAACCUCCAAGCUGUCCUUGUUCAUUCCCGGGUACAGGCUGAACUAACUUUGAGAGGAAUUUAGCUCAUGGUUUAACUUUGAAACAAAGAUGAUAACAGCCUUCCCCAAAACAAAUCCCCUCCUUGUUUGGGGACCAGAUUGCCUUUGUAAAACUAACAAAAUUACCCACAAGAUUAGGAAUUAUGGAGUCAUGCAACCAGAGAUCACAAGAUUCCUAAGCUCAAUUGCUCUGAUAGAUAACAUUACUGUUGUAAAACCUAAGAUUGGUGUUCGAAGCAUUUUUCAGACCCUGCAUUCUGAUAGACCAGCUGGUGCCACCCAGACUGGUAAACUGGCUCAUCUGGUUUUGUGGCCCCCACCCAGGAACUGACUUAAUGCAAGAGGACAGCUUGGACUCCCUGUGAUUCCAUCCCUGACCCAAUUUAUCACCAUUCCCCAUUCCCUAGCUCCCUACCCGCCAAACUGUCUUACAAAAAUCCUAGCCUCUGACUUUUUGGGGAGGCUGAUUUGAGUAACAAUAAAACUCCAGUCUCCAAUUUAGCCAGCUCUACAUGUAUUAAACUUUGUCUACUGUAAUUCCCAUCUGGAUAAAUCAGUUCCAUCUGGACAGUGGGCAAGAAGAAUCUGUUGGGCAAUUACAUUACCCACUGACAAAGUAAAAAUCCGGUGCUUGGAGUGAGCAGACCAAAUACACAACACCCUUUAAAAUAUGGUGCUUGCAGGGAUCUGCUUUUUAUUUUGUAGUUUAUUGUGAAGUGUGGGUGGUGUGAUGGGCCAAGCACAAAACCUGCAGUUGAUGAUGUGGGUUCAUGCUUUACCCUGAUUAUUAUUAGGUGUAUGACUUUGGACUUGUUAGAGAAUCACUGAAAUUCAUUUAGAGGUUAAUAAUAACACCUAUCUCACAGAGUGGAUCUGAGAAUUAAGUGAGAUAUUAGUGAAAAACUCCCCAGAGAUGAUAAGUCCUACAUUCAUCUAAAUUGUUGCUGUCAUUAUUUCUGUCUGCCACAUUAUCCUGGCACAAGAUUUAGUGGGGAUUCAUUGAGCAGGUGAGAGGUGAUGUGGAAAAGAUCCAUAAAAUUACCUCAUUAGCUCUGAGAACCUAUCACUAGCUCUUCAGAUGGAGCAGUGAGAACAGGCUGGGAUCAAACAGUAUGGAGAAAAGAAUCUCCUUGGUUCUCCUUUCAUGGGAAAUUGCAUCAGAAGUUCCUGUGGAUGGCUUGUUAAUUGGUGAGCAUUCUGAUUCAACACUGUGUCUCUCAGAAUAUAGUAAACAACCAAGGUUACACUAUCCACAUCAAAUGAUUAAUGCAAUAUGCUUAUAAUUGUUUUGUGAUUUUGCCAAUUUUCUCAUAUAUAUAACAACUCAGUGUUUUGCAAGUCAGCAAAGCCCAUUGAUAUUGUUCUUUAUGGGCUCAAAUUAUUUCACAUCCAUGGUUAACACUACUUCAAACUGAUUGACAAAAUUAGGGGGCAAAACGAGAAAAGGUGUAUUUGGUUGUGCUAUUCUUGACACAUAACCCAGUUGAUUCACUGUUGCCAAAGCCCACCAACUCCACAUCUGAGACCUUUGAUUCCAUUUUAUGAUUUUUAAUCAACUUCAUUGAGGUAUAAUUUACAUAAAACAAAUGGAAACAUUCAAAUUAUCCAGUUUCACGAGUCUUGACAAAUGUAUACACCAUGUAACCACUACCCCAAUAAAUAUAUAGAACAUUUUCCCCCAAAAGUUCCCUUUUGCCAUUUUGCAGUAAAUUCUCCUACCCUCUUGCACUCCCCACUCCCGAUAGUCAUUACUUUGAUUUCUAUCAUCAUAAGUUGAUUUUGCUUGUUCUGGAACUUCAUAUAAAUGAAAUCAUAUAAUAUCCACUCUAUGUGCCUAGUUUCCUCUGCUCAGCAAGUUUUUGAAAUUCAUCCCUAUUGUGUGUAUCAUUAAUUUGUUCCUUUUUAAUGUGAAGUAGUAUUCAUUGUAUGGAAGUGCCACAAUUUGUUUAACCAUUCAGCUACUUAUGAAUUGUUUCCAGCUUGUAGCUGUUAUAAAUAAAGCUUCUAUAAACAUUUAUGUA